GAGCGCGGCCAGUGGAUGGGCGUCCCGCUUCUCUUUCAAGAGCACGGAUUUAUCCAAACCGUGUGACAUGAAUGAAUGAGUUUUCAGGGCUGCCAACCUCUCAGUUAAGGUUUUGCAGUAGUAUAUUUCUAAUACAAUA